UUGACCCGUGGUGCGAUGAUAAAACGAAGGUAGAUAAUGGGGGAAGAGGUGGAUUGGUGCAAUUAUGUUGGUGUUUCUAGAGUCUCCCAUUUCCAUAAUCCUCUCCCUCUUUCUCCUUAUCUUCCUCCUUCGCUUCGCUCUACUCUUCUUCUUUCUCUUUCUCCUCUUCCUCCUCUGCGCCAACCUAGUUCACCUCCUCUCCUAGUCAUGAUCAUCCAAACGGUGCGCUAGCUUCAUCUUUCUUAAUUAUUUCUUUUACAACUCACUCAUCCUUCUAUUUUCAGAAUACCACAAAGUUGUUAUUCUACGUACCCUCUUUUCUUUUCUUUUCUUCUCCAACCUUAAUCAUGUUUCUAAACCACUACAUAACUGCCUGCAAUCUACUGUUUCUGUCUGCUUCUCCUCUUCGGACACCUACCCUGUCGCUAUCUCUACCAUACUAUGUACCUCAAAAGAUAGGAUAGCUAGUCCUAAAAUUUAACGCGGCUGCAUACACAAGGCAAGAUUACUAUCACCAUCAUGUUAUUUCACUUAUCACGCACGUGCCAUCACUGCUAGUUACCAUAAUCAAUUUCAAUUUCACCUUCAAACCUAAAACAACAAAUAAUUACUUCAAUUUUUCGACUUAUUUUUUGGGCUAUCCAAUCAUACUAUUAGUAGUGUGUCUGUGUUUCCAAAGGAUUUACUAUUGUAAAUUGUCCUUGGGCUGCUGCUACACUCCAAAUAGUACACCUUUUACGCUUUGUUGCCCAUAUGUAAGUAUAAUAUCUCGCGUCAUGUCUAUCUAACAUUCCCCUUGUUUCAUUUUAGCAUCAAAUGCCAACUUGCGUUCAUUGGAGGAAUUUCUUAUUUCCUUCUAAGAAAAGCUUGAAAGGUUACUGCAAUAUGGGGAAGAGGAAAGUCAUAUUCAUACACAUCUCAUUUUGUUGUCUAACCACAGUAAUGUAGUUGGUCCUUAUUUUUAUUAUAGUUAGGACCUGAAAUCAAAUCUAUUUUCUCUCAUAAUUUAUGUUGAGGAUGUAGUAAAUAAUUUGUAAUUUCAGUAUAAAUUCUUGAUGGUUGACUCUGAUUUUGUAUGGAGCUGUAUUUUAAUUUAAAUUUAUAUAAAAAAAUAUCAUUUUGCAUAUAUUUUAUUAUAUGAUUUAGUAGGUCUUACACUUUUAAUUCUGCACAAUAUCUUCCCUGUGAGCUAAUGUCCAUACUUCAUGCUUAAGAAGCUUUAUCCAACGUGAAACAUACACAUUUUUAUUCAUCAGGAAAUUAAUUCUUACGAUCAUAAUUAUUUUCAAGUCCACGAAAAUUUAUAUUAAUGUUUUUUUACACCGAAUAAUCAAUCGUUUUCCUAACAUUAUUGUAAGAAAAAACGUACGUAAAAGCAAAAAGGAAAAUAGUCAAGCUAAGUAGUAGUUAUUUACAGAUGUUCUCUAAUAAUUUACUAUGCAGCUAGUUUGAACACUCUUGCCAGUCGUCGCUAUCAUGAUCACGAUAAUUUCCUACUUGCUACUUCCAACAUCCGCUAUUGUCAAAGCAGAAGUGUGCAAUCAGUAGACGACGUUGUUCUUGGCCAAGGGAAAUAAUAAAAGUAUGCGUAUUGCAACGCAAAAGCUACAUUAUUCUUUACUCUUCUUCAUAUUAAUUGCUCACAUGAUCAUUGCAACAUGCAAUGAAAAAGUGCUUGCUCACAUGCUUGGUCAAUGUUAAAUUUUAAGUCUCUUGUAUUUUAUGAGAACAUGGGAGUCCAGCACCUACAUAAACCAGUAAUGCCAGAACUUAAGGUCGUAUAUACCUCCCAUGAUCUCCCUAAAAUCUAAGACGCGCGGUAGUUAUUAGGAACGACUAUUAGCUAAUUAUUAUUUUUAACAAUAUAUAUAGGAGAAAUCGUGAUGUAAUCAAGUGCUACAACGUGAAUCAAUACAAUAUUUACCUUGUUCACUCAAAUUUACAAUU